AGAGUUUGAUCCUGGCUCAGAACAAACGCUGGCGGCGUGCCUAACACAUGCAAGUCGUACGAGAAAGGGUCCUUCGGGAUCUGAGUAAAGUGGCGCACGGGUGAGUAACGCGUGGAUAAUCUGCCCUUCAGUUGGGAAUAACUCAUCGAAAGGUGGGCUAAUACCGAAUAAUGCUGUGAGACUUUGGUCGAUCAGCCAAAGAGAGCCUCUGCUUGCAUGCCCUCGCUGAAGGAUGAGUCCGCGUACCAUUAGCUAGUUGGCAGGGUAAUGGCCUACCAAGGCGACGAUGGUUAGCUGGUCUGAGAGGAUGAUCAGCCACACUGGAACUGAGACACGGUCCAGACUCCUACGGGAGGCAGCAGUGAGGAAUCUUGCGCAAUGGGGGCAACCCUGACGCAGCAACGCCGCGCGAGUGAGGAAGGUCUUCGGAUCGUAAAGCUCUGUCGGAUGGAAAGAACCGCAUGGGGGUAAACAGUCCCCGUGUCUGACGGUACCAUCAAAGGAAGCACCGGCUAACUCCGCGCCAGCAGCCGCGGUAAUAC
rnacentral:rRNA from 1 species